AUGGCCAAAGGAGCAGCCGGAGGAGGGGGAGGGGGCGCCGUGAAGACGGCCCUGGUCGUCACCGGCGGCCUCGUCCUCGCCUGGCUCACCGUCGAGUCCGCCUUCAAGCCCUUCCUCGACCGCCUCCGCGGCGCCGUCUCCCGCUCCAUCGACCCCGCCCGCGACCCCGACGAGGACACCGCCGCCCCCGCCCCCGAGGAGGACAAGUCGCCGGCCACCGCGGCCGUCGCCGCCGCUGUCGCCUCCGCCGUCGCCGAGGAGAAGGACCCCGACGUCGCCGUCGCCGAGGAGAAGAACCCCGACGUCGCCGUCGCCGCGGCAGAGCCGUCGGCGCCCCCGCUCCCUGCCGAGGCUGUGGAGGGCGAGGACAAGGGAGAGGACAAGGAGGUCGAACUGGGAGAGAAGUGGGAGGCGGCCGUGGCCGCCAAGGCCGAGUGA
rnacentral:rRNA from 1 species